AUCACAUCAAUGCAUCAAAUAAUACGGUCUUUCCUUUGGUAUUGGAGGGUGCUGGCACCAUAUGCUUCAGUACUUUCAUCUGUGAAGACCCACUUGCUAACCCUACCAAUCACUAGAAGGACCAUUAUGUGGGGACACAGGUGCUUAUUAUGACCAAUGAACAGUCAUGUACAUGUAUACAUGGGUGGUCAAACUAUAUUCACCGGAUGGCUAUUUAUCAACACUCCCAUGUACACGAACAGCCUUGCCCCAGGAAUUUUGCCCUGAAGCAACAGUUUUCAGUCAAUUAAUGUGUCCUUUUUCUUAACAACCCUGACAGGUAGAAGCUGAUUACAUGCACUUGACAGAAAAUGAUCAUGUGUUGGACAAGUCAAAGAAGUUCCUCCAGUCUUUCAGAGAAAUGACAGUUGAUGAAAGAAUGGUGUCCACAAAGUAAAAGUGCUCUGGACUUCAACAUUUUGUGGAAGAUUAAAUCAGUCUGAUUUAGAAUUCAGCUUGCAAUAU